rnacentral:lncRNA from 1 species
UCGCGGAAUCGGAGCGAGCCGGGACGCGAGGAAGUGUAAGAGACGAUGAGGCCUGAAGCAAAGCCACAGCACCGGUUUUCCACCCCAAGGAAGCCUCCACGACUGGCGAAAGAGCGGUUAUUCAGGCACUUCCGGCCAUCCACGUGCUGCAGCUUUUGGAGCAAAGGACCAAGGCUCAAGAGCCAAUCAGAAUUCUGCCUCAGAUCCUGUGACCUCAAUUAUGACUCCCCUCCCCCAACACGCACACCUGAGAGAAGGACCACUGGCUCGCUUAGGCCAGGGGACUCCAGAUCUUGCACUGGAGGGAUAAAGCAGAUAGACUUGAUUUGGUACCCAGGUUCUGUUACUUAACAGCGAUGUGACUUUGAGCAAACAGCCUACACUCUGAGUCUAGCUUUCUUCCUCCGUACCAUGUCCAUAGUUAUAGCAUCUACCUCCAAGACUUGUGAGAUUUCAACGAGAUGUGUAUGAAGCACUCCAGAUCUGGAGUCUGGGAAGGGUCUGGGAAGGGAUGAAUAAGAAUAGCUGUUCUAAAGCCAUUCUGCUGCCUACACAGCCCAUCCAGGAUGGGGUUUUGGGAGGAGGAUGCUUGACAUCUUGGAACCACACUGUGAUCAUUACUACAGCCAUUGGAGAUCCCAUGCUAUCCUGUCCUACUGGCCCAGCACCUAAGAGUGGGUAAUUCCUGUCAUUUUUGAGGAAUAGUGAUGAUGCUCCCAAAUCAAGGUGGUGGAGAUAGGAGCCAAAUUUUUAACAUUGACAGUAGUAAGUGAGAUCACACACAGACCCACUUCACGGCCGGCACAUGGAGGGGGCUUCAGCAGAGCCACCGGCCCUGACCUCCCUUGCCACCCACUAGGCCUGACUCUGGGCAAGUCCCCAGGCUUUACUUCACCAGGACACUCAAGGUCCCAUUUAUCUCGAUGUGGAGGGAAAAGAAAACAGCUCACAAAAGGAGUGUUUGAUACCUUCAUCCAUAAAUGAAGAGGUGGCACUCCCUUGGCUUAUCUGUCAAGGCUGUCAGGAUAAUUAAAUCUGAUGUUCUUUGUGAAUUCACUUUGCAAAUCCCUCCACACGUAUCAGGGAUUGCCAUUCUUAUGAGGGGGAGGCAGGACACUGACCCCCUUUGGUGUGUCCUACCCAGAAUAUAGACAUCUCAGAAAAAUGAGAAGGUUUCUCUUUCUCCUGCAGUACAAUAAGGGCCUUAGUUUCUGCACCUUCAGCUGCCUCUUCUAUGUGAGGGAAUCCUGGAGGUGGACCACUCCUUAGCUUGAACCUUCUCCACAUUCAGCACCAGGAUCUACAUGGGGAGAUGGCUUCCCUAGUGACAUAGGAAUCUGCUGCCCAGUGA